GGGAUCGGGACGCGGCUGAAUUAUGGCUUUCCUCAUAAAUAUCAGUGCUGUAAAAAGCAAGGUACGUUACCGCACUGGUACAUUACAUGACGUCACAAUGAAAAAUACGUCAUGACGAAGGUCAUGACGUACAUAUCUACAGUCCCUGUGAGGUUGGAAAUGUCAAAAUAUUUUUUUUCGUUAUUUACCACCGCUUUCAAACAAUAAACCGCAAUCGUGUAAAAGUUUCUGUCAAAUGGGUUAUAUUAAUUCUCUUUGAUAUUGAAAUAGUUUCAAUUUCUUCUUAAUAUAACAUAAAUACUAAAGUAAUAUCCGUAUUAUAUUGUGAUCUUGAUAUCGCCCCUAAUUUGCACGUAUAAUGACUUUCACAAUAGGGUCGGAAAGUCUCGUCAUGUGACUCGCGAGAAAUAACGUGAAAUCGUACUUCCGGGCAGUUGUCAGGAUGGCAUUAUCAAUAAUCUACUAGACUCGCUACGUUCAAAACCACAUAGAGCUUACUACAAAAAGCGAGAGAGCGAUGGAUAACAACUGGGUUUAGAAAAUGUGUUCUAAAUAGAGCUCUGAGUUAUUACAGCGGUUGUUCAAGCGUCAAUACGAGACAUUUUCCAACAAAAUACAGAUAUAAAAGGGCAAACAACAUAGCUGGAUAAAGCAUCCUAAGUCUGCACCUCGUAAAGCUAUGACAAUGAGAGAAAUGUAUCCACCUAGGCAAUCAGAAUAUAGAGUGCAACCCGGAAGGUGUGCUGCAGCCCAAAGAGAGUCAUGGUUAUUGGCAUCAAGUUCUCCAUCAGCUUUACCUCACAGGCACCACUUGUGAUUUCAUAGUUUGAACACCAAUGAACAUGGAAGUGAUUCUCAUCCUUCGAGAUGAAUUAUGGGAAUUAUACUUGACAUACAUGAUUGAGCCUUUGUGCCUUCUCUGCAAUAACCAACUAGACAGACUUGUGAAAAUUCAAAUGUCUUCCAUUAGUUUUAUUUUGUUUUUGCUACAAAUGAUCAGUGUGAAGAUGUGCAUGAAUCACCAUUGUAACAAUUUCUUUGACUAGCAACCUUAAAUAAAUGUUCACUUUAUCAUUUACUUGAAUGCAUUUAAUACAACUUGACAAUCCAGAAUAAUGUGAGUAAGAAGUUGUACAUUUAUAGUAUCUAAGUCCAAAGGUAAGAUUUAAUUAAUUGUGAAAUUCAUAUCAGCUAUUUCCUUCAGUAGAGGAUUUGCAAAUGUACAAGAGUCACACAGAGUUGAAAAUCUUAGUGGACAGAUAUAUAUGUCUGUAUUGUGAAGGUAUAUGAUUUAGAAUAUGGAUGUUUUUAAUUAAAUUCAAUUGCACACUC